rnacentral:rRNA from 1 species
GUUAGGUAAAUCCGGCUCUUUCUAAGGCUGAGACACGACGUCGAGCACCUACGGGUGUGAAGUCAUUGAUGCCAUGCUUCCAGGAAAAGCCUCUAAGCUUCAGAUUGUAAGGAAUCGUACCCCAAACCGACACAGGUGGUCGGGUAGAGAAUACCAAGGCGCUUGAGAGAACUCGGGUGAAGGAACUAGGCAAAAUGGUACCGUAACUUCGGGAGAAGGUACGCUCUUGAUGGUGAAGUCCCU